rnacentral:misc_RNA from 1 species
UUUCCGUAGGUGAACCUGCGGAAGGAUCAUUAUCGUACAGAAUGUGAGGGGCAUCCGAGGCCUGUCGCUGACCUAAAGGUCGUGCACGCCCGAGCGUGUCCUCUUCCAUAAUAAUCCAACUCACCCUUCGUGCAUCACCGCGUGCGCACCCUUCGGGAUCAACUCGGAGGGGCGGUCGCGUUUUCACACAAACCCCCCUUUAAAAGUAUAUAAUGACCACAUUUAUGCAAACAAUACAACUUUCAACAACGGAUCUCUUGGCUCUC